UACGUAGGGUGCAAGCGUUGUCCGGAAUUAUUGGGCGUAAAGAGCUCGUAGGCGGUCUGUCGCGUCUGCUGUGAAAACUCAGGGCUUAACCCUGAGCUUGCAGUGGGUACGGGCAGACUAGAGUGCGGUAGGGGAGACUGGAAUUCCUGGUGUAGCGGUGAAAUGCGCAGAUAUCAGGAGGAACACCGGUGGCGAAGGCGAGACUCUGGGCAGAUACUGACGCUGAGGAGCGAAAGCGUGGGGAGCAAACAGG
rnacentral:rRNA from 1 species